rnacentral:rRNA from 1 species
CCCUUUGUUGUCCGACUCUGUUGCCUCCGGGGCGACCCUGCCUUCGGGCGGGGGCUCCGGGUGGACACUUCAAACUCUUGCGUAACUUUGCAGUCUGAGUAAACUUAAUUAAUAAAUUAAAACUUUUAACAACGGAUCUCUUGGUUCUGGCAUCGAUGAAGAACGCAGCGAAAUGCGAUAAGUAAUGUGAAUUGCAGAAUUCAGUGAAUCAUCGAAUCUUUGAACGCACAUUGCGCCCCCUGGUAUUCCGGGGGGCAUGCCUGUUCGAGCGUCAUUUCACCACUCAAGCCUCGCUUGGUAUUGGGCAACGCGGUCCGCCGCGUGCCUCAAAUCGUCCGGCUGGGUCUUCUGUCCCCUAAGCGUUGUGGAAACUAUUCGCUAAAGGGUGUUCGGGAGGCUACGCCGUAAAACAACCCCAUUUCUAAGGUUGACCUCGGAUCAGGUAGGGAUACCCGCUGAACUUAAGCAUAUCAAUAAGCGGAGGA